GCCUGUUUAUCAAAAACAUGGCUUCAUGAUUUUAAAGUAUAUGAAGUCGGGCCUGCCCAGUGAAAAUUUUCAACGGCCGCGGUACUCUGACCGUGCAAAGGUAGCAUAAUCAUUUGCCUUAUAAUUGAAGGCUGGAAUGAAUGGUUUGACAAGAAUAUUACUGUCUCUAAGAGAUUUAUUAGAAUUUUAUUUUUAGGUGAAAAAGCCUAAAUGAUAUUGAAAGACAAGAAGACCCUAUCGAGCUUAAAAUAAAUAUGUAAAAUGUUAUUUUAUUGUUUAAGAUAAAUGUUUACUAAAUAUUUUGGUUGGGGCAACUGAGGAGUAGUUAAAGCCUCCUUUAUUUUAUAUAAUUUGUUGAUUUUGAUCCAGAAAUGUGUCUGAUUGAAAGAAUUAGUUACCGUAGGGAUAACAGCAUUAUCUUUUUUGAGAGCUCUUAUCGAAAAAAAGGUUUGUGACCUCGAUGUUGGACCAGAAUGUCCUAAAGAUGCAGAAGUCUUUAAGGGUUGGUCUGUUCGACCAUUAAUAUUCUACGUGAUCUGAGUUCAGACCGGAC
rnacentral:rRNA from 1 species